ensembl:misc_RNA
AAGACAUUUUUAAGGCCAUGUAGUGCGUCCUCUAUCCAUUGGACAUUUACAGAUCAGGAAGCAGAAGUGCAGGUUUCCCCAAAUUGGCCAGCCAAUGUACUUCAACCCUGACCUGAAGGAUCCACCUCUGUGGAGCAGGGAGAUAGUUCAGUCUCUCUGCUCAAUCUGUACUUGGUCUCU